GAUGAACGCUAGCGGGAGGCCUAACACAUGCAAGCCGAGCGGUAUUGUUUCUUCGGAAAUGGGAGAGCGGCGUACGGGUGCGGAACACGUGUGCAACCUACCUUUAUCUGGGGGAUAACCUUUCGAAAGGAAGAUUAAUACUCCAUAAUAUAUUGAACGGCAUCGUUUAAUAUUGAAAGCUCCGGCGGAUAGAGAUGGGCACGCGCAAGAUUAGCUAGUUGGUGAGGUAACGGCUCACCAAGGCGAUGAUCUUUAGGGGGCCUGAGAGGGUGAUCCCCCACACUGGUACUGAGACACGGACCAGACUCCUACGGGAGGCAGCAGUGAGGAAUAUUGGUCAAUGGGUGCAAGCCUGAACCAGCCAUCCCGCGUGAAGGACGACUGCCCUAUGGGUUGUAAACUUCUUUUGUAUAGGGAUAAACCUACCCUCGUGAGGGUAGCUGAAGGUACUAUACGAAUAAGCACCGGCUAACUCCGUGCCAGCCGCCGCUGUAACAC
rnacentral:rRNA from 1 species